GGAUCGUCCCCGCCAGUUGGCUUUGUGCCCGUCCACCAAACUAUCGGCAGGUGAUCCGGGUUGGUCGCGCAAGGUGGUAUGGUUCCCAGAGGCCGGUUCUUUUAUUGCCUACCCCUUCAGGGGAAGUAGGCUAAUUGAUGUAAGCCUUCAUCCGGUGCCUUCCAACGGGCGCAGGAGAACAAUGGAGCACCCCCUGCGUUCCACCGAGCCUUCGUCGGUCGCUUGGCGCGCAGGGACGUGAGAUGCUCUCGGACCCAGCGAAUGCCGCGGGCGAGGACUCACGUCCCAAUCCCAAAAGAAGUUUCGAUAUAAUGCUGAUAGCUGCUCCCGCCCCCGACUGCCUCGGCGGCGGGGGGCGAGGUGCGUUGUCGCGGAGGAAUGCUACCU
rnacentral:misc_RNA from 1 species